UGGGCUUGGGCUUCCGCUGUUUCUGCUGAACGUGACUGUAGGUCAGUAAAGGAGAGCGGCUGCGUGUACAGACUUGUUUGGCGUUUUGCCGCGCCUGCGCUGUUCGGCUGAGGAAUGUGAUCGCAUCGGUCCUCCUCCAGAAAUCAUUUGGGUGGAUAAUAUCCCCGCAGUGGCGUCACCGCUGUCUCGUUCCAGGAACUGCUGGC